rnacentral:lncRNA from 12 species
AUCUUCAUAUAUUAUUUUCGUUUGUGCAUAAUGGAGCUCUUUUUAACAGGUGAUUGAUGUGAACAAGGAAUGCUGAGGCUCCUCAAGUGAAGAGCUGCUGUGGGAAGUAGGCUGUGAAAGGGAGUAGCCAUCCUUUUACUCUGCUAAUUAACGUACAUGAUUCUACAGAAUACAUCCAUGGAAUUCCACUUGUUCAAAUCACUCAUGAGAAUGAGAAGUCCACUCUGAUGUACGUAAUACCUUCACUGAAUUUUCAGUCUG